rnacentral:rRNA from 1 species
UACGUAGGGCGCAAGCGUUGUCCGGAAUUAUUGGGCGUAAAGAGCUCGUAGGCGGCUUGUCACGUCGGGUGUGAAAGCCCGGGGCUUAACCCCGGGUCUGCAUUCGAUACGGGCUAGCUAGAGUGUGGUAGGGGAGAUCGGAAUUCCUGGUGUAGCGGUGAAAUGCGCAGAUAUCAGGAGGAACACCGGUGGCGAAGGCUGAUCUCUGGGCCAUUACUGACGCUGAGGAGCGAAAGCGUGGGGAGCGAACAGG